CCUUCGGGAACUCUGAGACAGGUGCUGCAUGGCUGUCGUCAGCUCGUGUUGUGAAAUGUUGGGUUAAGUCCCGCAACGAGCGCAACCCUUAUCCUUGUUUGCCAGCGAGUAAUGUCGGGAACUCCAGGGAGACUGCCGGUGAUAAACCGGAGGAAGGUGGGGACGACGUCAAGUCAUCAUGGCCCUUACGAGUAGGGCUACACACGUGCUACAAUGGCGCAUACAGAGGGCGGCCAACUUGCGAAAGUGAGCGAAUCCCAAAAAGUGCGUCGUAGUCCGGAUUGGAGUCUGCAACUCGACUCCAUGAAGUCGGAAUCGCUAGUAAUCGUGGAUCAGAAUGCCACGGUGAAUACGUUCCCGGGCCUUGUACACACCGCCCGUCACACCAUGGGAGUGGGCUGCAAAAGAAGUAGGUAGUUUAACCUUCGGGGGGACGCUUACCACUUUGUGGUUCAUGACUGGGGUGAAGUCGUAACAAGGUAGCGCUAGGGGAACC
rnacentral:rRNA from 1 species